rnacentral:rRNA from 1 species
GGGGGGGCAAGCGUUGUUCGGAAUUAUUGGGCGUAAAGGGUGUGUAGGCGGCCAUGUAAGUCUAAGGUGAAAGCCCUCGGCUUAACCGGGGAAGUGCCCUAGAUACUGCAUGGCUUGAGUGCGAGAGAGGAGAGUGGAAUUCCCAGUGUAGCGGUGAAAUGCGUAGAUAUUGGGAAGAACACCAGUGGCGAAGGCGGCUCUCUGGACCGCAACUGACGCUGAAACACGAAAGCCAGGGGAGCAAACGGGGAUUAGAUACCCCGGUAGUCCUGGCCGUAAACGAUGGGCACUAGGUGUGGGAGGUAUCGACCCCCCUUCUGUGCCGUAGCUAACGCAUUAAGUGCCCCGCCUGGGGAGUACGGUCGCAAGGCUGA